rnacentral:rRNA from 1 species
CUUGCGCAGCUUAACAUGCAGUCGAACGGCAGCACGGAGCUUGCUCUGGUGGCGAGUGGCGAACGGGUGAGUAAUAUAUCGGAACGUACCCAAGAGUGGGGGAUAACGUAGCGAAAGUUACGCUAAUACCGCAUACGAUCUAAGGAUGAAAGCAGGGGACCGCAAGGCCUUGUGCUCCUGGAGCGGCCGAUAUCUGAUUAGCUAGUUGGUGAGGUAAAGGCUCACCAAGGCAUCGAUCAGUAGCUGGUCUGAGAGGACGACCAGCCACACUGGAACUGAGACACGGUCCAGACUCCUACGGGAGGCAGCAGUGGGGAAUUUCGGACAAUGGGCGAAAGCCUGAUCCAGCCAUUCCGCGUGAGUGAAGAAGGCCUUCGGGUUGUAAAGCUCUUUUGUCAGGGAGGAAAUCCUAACGGUUAAUACCUGUUGGGGAUGACAGUACCUGAAGAAUAAGGACCGGCUAACUACGUGCCAGCAGCCGCGGUAAUACGUAGGGUCCAAGCGUUAAUCGGAAUUACUGGGCGUAAAGCGUGCGCAGGCGGCAGACUAAGCCAGAUGUGAAAUCCCCGGGCUCAACCUGGGAACUGCGUUUGGAACUGGUCAGCUAGAGUACGUCAGAGGGGGGUAGAAUUCCACGUGUAGCAGUGAAAUGCGUAGAGAUGUGGAGGAAUACCGAUGGCGAAAGGCAGCCCCCUGGGAUGAUACUGACGCUCAUGCACGAAAGCGUGGGGAGCAAACAGGAUUAGAUACCCUGGUAGUCCACGCCCUAAACGAUGUCUACUAGUUGUCGGGGGAGG